rnacentral:rRNA from 1 species
GAUGAACGUUGGCGGCGUGCCUAAUACAUGCAAGUCGAACGAAGAGCUUAAAGUAGCAAUACUUUGAUAACUCUUAGUGGCGAACGGGUGAGUAACGCGUUGGUGACCUGCCCCAAAGAUAGGGAUAACAGUUCGAAAGGACUGCUAAUACCUAAUGUUAUCAUUUGGCUUAGAUGCCUUUUGAUUAAAGGAGCUUGCUCCACUUUGGGAGGGGCCUGCGUCCCAUCAGCUAGUUGGUAGGGUAAUGGCCUACCAAGGCUAUGACGGGUAGGGGACCUGAGAGGGUGGCCCCCCACAAUGGAACUGAAACACGGUCCAUACACCUACGGGUGGCAGCAGUAGGGAAUAUUGGUAAUCUGCGAAAGCGGGAACCAGCAACGCCGCGUGCGCGAUGAAGGCCUUCGGGUUGUAAAGCGCUUUUCGGGAGGAAGAGGAAGGACUGUACUCCCGGAAUAAGUCUCGGCUAACUACGUGCCAGCAGCCGCGGUAAUACGUAGGAGGCUAACGUUAUCCGGAUUUACUGGGCGUAAAGCGCGUGCAGGCGGUUCGUUAAGUUGGACGUGAAAGCUCCCGGCUCAACUGGGAGAGGUCGUUCAAUACUGGCGGACUUGAGGAUGGUAGAGGGAGGUGGAAUUCCGGGUGUAGUGGUGAAAUGCGCAGAUAUCCGGAGGAACACCAGUGGCGAAAGCGGCCUCCUGGACCAUUCCUGACGCUCAGACGCGAAAGCUAGGGUAGCAAACG